rnacentral:rRNA from 1 species
UUAAGUGAAUAAGGGCGUACGGUGGAUGCCUAGGCACUUGGAACUGAAGAAGGACGCAACAAACGGCGAAACGCGACGGGGAGUGGUACGUACACAAAGAUCCGUCGAUAUCCGAAUGGGGAAACCCGGCAGCAGUAAUGAGCUGUCACCCAUGAGUGAAUACAUAGCUCAUGAGGGAGGUACCCGGAGAACUGAAACAUCUAAGUACCCGGAGGAAAAGAAAAUAAGAAUGAUUCCGUAAGUAGCGGCGAGCGAACGCGGAGGAGCCCAAACCAGAUCUUGAUCUGGGGUUGUAGGACCACGAAAUGGCAAGAGCAUGGCUAAGAGAACGGCAUUGAAAGGCCGACCGGAGAGGGUGCAAGUCCCGUAACUGAAAGCGAUGUGAAGCCUAGUGGUAUCCUGAGUACGGCGAGACACGAGAAAUCUUGUCGGAAGCAGGCGGGACCAUCCGUCAAGGCUAAAUAUACCCAAGUGACCGAUAGUGAACCAGUACCGUGAGGGAAAGGUGAAAAGAACCGCGGGAGCGGAGUGAAAUAGAACCUGAAACCGUAUGCUUACAAGAAGUCAGAGCCCGUUAAAGGGUGAUGGCGUGCCUUUUGUAGAAUGAACCGGCGAGUUACGUUAUCGUGCGAGGUUAAGUAGAAGAUACGGAGCCGAAGCGAAAGCGAGUCUUAAUAGGGCGACAGUACGAUGAUGUAGACCCGAAACCGUGUGAUCUAGCCAUGACCAGGUUGAAGUUCAGGUGAAACUGAAUGGAGGACCGAACCGACCCCCGUUGAAAAGUUGGCGGAUGAGUUGUGGCUAGGGGAGAAAUUCCAAUCGAACACGGAGAUAGCUGGUUCUCCCCGAAAUAGCUUUAGGGCUAGCGUCGAGGUAGAGUCGCAUGGAGGUAGAGCACUGAAUGUACGAUGGCCCCAUCCCGGGGUACUGAGUAUAAUCAAACUCCGAAUGCCAUGCAGACGUACUCGGCAGUCAGACUGUGGGUGAUAAGGUCCAUGGUCAAAAGGGAAACAGCCCAGACCGCCAGUUAAGGUCCCAAAAUGUAUGCUAAGUGGAAAAGGAUGUGGGGAUGCACAGACAACUAGGAGGUUGGCUCAGAAGCAGCCAUCCUUCAAAGAGUGCGUAACAGCUCACUAGUCGAGUGACCCUGCGCCGAAAAUGUACCGGGGCUAAGCAUACUACCGAAGCUGCGGAUUCAACUUUAGAGUUGAGUGGUAGGGGAGCGUUGCAUGCACGUAGAAGCCGUACCGUAAGGAGCGGUGGAGAGCAUGGAAGAGAGAAUGCCGGUGUGAGUAGCGAGAUGUAGGUGAGAAUCCUACACACCGAUAGCCCAAGGAUUCCAGGGGAAGGUUCGUCCGCCCUGGGUAAGUCGGGACCUAAGGCGAGGCCGAAAGGCGUAGUGGAUGGAAAACAGGCAGAUAUUCCUGUACCCGCGAUGGAAAUGAAGGAAUGACGGAGAAGGCUAGUGUGAGCCACUGAACGGAUUGUGGUCAAAGCAUAUAGCAGGCUGACAGUGAAAUGCGUCAGCGGGAUGUAAGAUGUGACAGGUAAGGGAACGUCCUUGGACAAGUACUGAAGCACAUGAUGCCAGCUUCCAAGAAAAGUUUCUAGUGAUAAUUCCAUAGCGGCCCGUACCAAAACCGACACAGGUGGGCAAGGAGAGAAUCCUGAGGUGAGCGAGAGAACUGUUGCCAAGGAACUCGGCAAAAUGACUCCGUAAGUUAGCGAGAAGGAGUGCUUAUGAAAGUAAGCCGCAGUGAAGAGGCCCAAGCGACUGUUUAACUAAAACACAGCUCUCUGCAAAGUCGCAAGACGAAGUAUAGGGGGUGACGCCUGCCCGGUGCUGGAAGGUUAAGAGGAUUUGUCAUCCGCAAGGAGAAGCAAUGAAUUGAAGCCCCAGUGAACGGCGGCCGUAACUAUAACGGUCCUAAGGUAGCGAAAUUCCUUGUCAGGUAAGUUCUGACCCG